UACGUAGGGGGCGAGCGUUGUCCGGAAUUACUGGGCGUAAAGGGCGCGUAGGCGGUCUAAUAAGUCAGAUGUGAAAUUCUUGGGCUUAACCCAGGAUGUGCAUUUGAAACUGUUGGACUUGAGGGCAGGAGAGGAAAGCGGAAUUCCCAGUGUAGCGGUGAAAUGCGUAGAUAUUGGGAGGAACACCAGUGGCGAAGGCGGCUUUCUGGACUGUACCUGACGCUGAGGCGCGAAAGCCAGGGGAGCGAACGGG
rnacentral:rRNA from 1 species